UCCGAUGUGGGACUUUUUGUGCAUAUGGUUUCGAUUUGGUUAGUUCGGUUAAGUAUUAGCUAUUGGAUUCUAGAGUACCAUAUCGGAUAAGUAAUUGAAAUAUGAAAACUUCAGACUAACAAUGACUGGUAGGGGCUGCGCGAACGCAAACCCCCUCUGCCACAAAUAAUAACGCAGGCUCUUCCUCAAGGGAAGACCUUAGGCAUAGCACCCCAACGGUAUGUGCAAUGCGGUCACUAGCCUAGGCCACUCGUCUUAUUGAUCGCGAGUUGACCCCGUCCAGGUAAGUAAUUUGCUUGAACAGUCCGCUUCUUUAUAUAUACUACUGCUUCACCAACCCAUGCUUUGGGUAUUAACCGAUGUGGGACUUUUGAAUAUCAACACAUCGUGCUGGAUGUUUUAGGCCCAAUCAAGUGCUUGAAACGACGAUAAACACGUUUUUUACAAACAGACAUAA